rnacentral:rRNA from 1 species
UACGUAGGGUGCGAGCGUUGUCCGGAAUUAUUGGCGUAAAGGGCUCGUAGGCGGUUUGUCGCGUCGGGAGUGAAACACCGGGCUUAACUCGGUGCUUGCUUUCGAUACGGGCAGACUAGAGGUAUGCAGGGGAGAACGGAAUUCCUGGUGUAGCGGUGAAAUGCGCAGAUAUCAGGAGGAACACCGGUGGCGAAGGCGGUCUCUGGGCAUGAUCUGACGCUGAGGAGCGAAAGUGUGGGGAGCGAACAGG